UACGGAGGGUGCAAACGUUGCUCGGAAUCACUGGGCGUAAAGCGCACGUAGGCGGAUUGUUAAGUCAGGGGUGAAAUCCUGGAGCUCAACUCCAGAACUGCCUUUGAUACUGGCGAUCUCGAGUCCGGGAGAGGUGAGUGGAACUGCGAGUGUAGAGGUGAAAUUCGUAGAUAUUCGCAAGAACACCAGUGGCGAAGGCGGCUCACUGGCCCGGUACUGACGCUGAGGUGCGAAAGCGUGGGGAGCAAACAGG
rnacentral:rRNA from 1 species